rnacentral:lncRNA from 1 species
CCUUACCACUUCGCAAAGUUAUUAUACUCUUCGCUUGUUCUUUAUGCAAAGUUGAAGAUGAUGCAUUGCUACCGCCAUAGACUUGAGGAUUAGGUUGUGGUUGAGCUGGUAGCUUGCCUUUCUCUUGAGCACUUAAAGCAGUGGUCAGCGUUGUCAGUUGAUUUCUUAAUUCAUCAUUGAUUUUAGCUUGGCCUUGCAUGAAAGAUUGCAAAGUUUCUUCGAGACUGGAUUUUUGAGGGGGUGCGUGUGCAUAAUGAGGUUGCGGAGGUGGAGGAGUUGGG